rnacentral:rRNA from 1 species
UGCCUAAGUAGUAUCGGGAAAGUUUUUCGCUAUAGGAUGAGGCUGCGGUCUAUCAGCUAGUUGGUGAGGUAACGGCUCACCAAGGCUAUGACGGAUAGCUGGUCUGAGAGGAUGAUCAGCCACACUGGAACUGAGACACGGUCCAGACUCCUACGGGAGGCAGCAGUGGGGAAUUUUACACAAUGGGCGAAAGCCUGAUGUAGCAACGCCGCGUGGAGGAUGAAGGAUUUAGGUUCGUAAACUCCUUUUAUAGGGGAAGAAAUUUGACGGUACCCUAUGAAUAAGCACCGGCUAACUCCGUGCCAGCAGCCGCGGUAAUACGGGGGGUGCAAGCGUUACUCGGAAUCACUGGGCGUAAAGGGAGCGUAGGCGUUCUAUUAAGUCUUGAGUGAAAGCCCGCAGCCUAACUGCGGAACUGCUCAGGAAACUGAUAGAAUUGAGUAUGGAAGAGGUCAGUGGAAUUUCCAGUGUAGGGGUAAAAUCCGUAGAUAUUGGAAGGAAUACCAGAAGCGA